CACAUUAGUCUCACUUGAGAUGCAAACUACAGGUGUCAUAAAUAGGCCUAGCUUAUUCCUGUUUUUAAAUGUUGCAGGUUUGUAAUAUAUCAUAACUUGAGACAGGACUAUAUAAAAAAUUUUUGACACAAGCAUGGUAACAAAAUAUAUUUUUGAAACAGAAGUUUGAAAAUCUGUAUGACAGUAUAAUAGCAUUUUAUGAUGGGAAAUUUCCAAUCAGUAGAAUAUAUAUUUGUAUAUUAAAGCUUUUCCUUCUUUUUCUGUACACUUCUGUAUAUUGUAGAUCUAAAUAGAGACAGAAUAUGAAAUUCCUCAAUAAAAAAUCUUUUUUUGAAAAUCAUUAUGAAAGAAAAAGCUAUUUCAAUUGUAAGGCAUCCCUGAAAUGUCACAGAUUUUGAUAAUGGUUUUAAAUGUUCAUUGUCAAUGCAUAUGUUUCAAAGUAUGCUAUUUAAUUUUAUAUGUUUAUAUAUUUUAUAUGUGGUUUAUAUAAUACACACCCACACACAAUUUUAUUAAGAUUCUUGUAGAUAUCAAAAUUAUGUAGCUAAUAAUUAUAAGCUUAUGUACAUGCACCCAAUAACCAUUGAUCUUGUAUACCUAAGGCUCAGACUUAGUGUUUAAGAUUUUCUAUAUUAUCAAAAUCUUUGUGUAAUUUAAAGAUUGAUAUUCCUUCUUAUAAAUGGAAUAAGGCAUAUUUAAACCUGGUUACAGAGCAAUUUUAUAUAAUUUAUAUCAGGUCACAGCCUGCUGAUGAAGAUCCUCAGCUUAUACAGAGGUCAGACUUGAGCUAUGUGCUGAUUCAAAAGAUGCUAAUGACAGUGGAUAAUCCAUUCUGAGUUGUUCUAGGACCAUUCACCAACGUUUCAAAACACUGAUGGAACUGAAGGCAGUACGUGUACUGGUGUCUGGCCUGUGAUUUCAAAUUGAUGUACCUCCUUGAAUACAAUAUAUCUGCCAUGUGAAAGGAACAAGCUGCAAGAUAUACUGUGGAAGUGGGGGCCUAUGUAAAAAAAAACAUUUUAUUUAAAGAAUAUAAGAAAUCUGACACUAAACUACUGAAAAGGUACACAGGGGACAUUUUUGUGUGUAUAGACUUUCAUCAAGAUUCUGAGAAAGUUGAUUUAUUAAACAAAAAUAGUCAUGUCAUAUUGUGUCUUCAAAGCUGAAAAGAUUAAGAUCUUAGGAAAACAUUAGGACUCAAAAAAAGUAAUGGGGUUAUGAAACUGUAGUGUUCAACAUUUAAACUGUUUUUGUUUUUUUCACUACAUUUUGUGAAGAGGGUUCCAUCACAAGAUGUGACAUAUUGGUAAGAAUGAGAUGUAGUUUAUGAAAAAAAGUAUUUUGCUUUAAAUGUGCAGACUUUAAGUUACAUAAAAAAUCAAAGCUGUAACAAUAAAGCUUGAUUAAAAAAAAAACACUGUUGAAAACUAGCCUUUAUGUAAAUGUCACACUUUUUUGGGUGCACAGGGGACACAAUUAGCUAUAUAAUUUAAUAUAACUUUUACUCUUAGGCCCUUGCUAAAUUUCUAUAACGAACUUGUCCGUUUUACAAUUUGGACAGUAUUAUUAAGUGUUAAAAGGGGUGCUAACCAAAAAGAUACUGACUGAAUGGCGAACAGUGCAGAUCAAGAUCAGACUGCACAGAUGUGCAGGCUGAUCAUGAUCUACACUUGUCGCAAAGGUAGGACCAACCAUGUACAGCAUAAUAAGGGUUAAAACUGCUUGAGCCAUUCAGCUGAAAUUGCAAACAUUUGUUGACUACAUUGAUUGGAUAUAUGUAAUUUGCCCCAAAACACUUUAUAAAACUGAACUGAAUUAAAAUAAGGUGAGAGAGAAGAAAAAGCUUAAUUAUUUAAAAAAAAAAACAA